ACAGACGAGGAGCUUGCUCCUUUGACGUUAGCGGCGGACGGGUGAGUAACACGUGGAUAACCUACCUAUAAGACUGGGAUAACUUCGGGAAACCGGAGCUAAUACCGGAUAACAUGUUGAACCGCAUGGUUCAACAGUGAAAGACGGUCUUGCUGUCACUUAUAGAUGGAUCCGCGCCGCAUUAGCUAGUUGGUAAGGUAACGGCUUACCAAGGCAACGAUGCGUAGCCGACCUGAGAGGGUGAUCGGCCACACUGGAACUGAGACACGGUCCAGACUCCUACGGGAGGCAGCAGUAGGGAAUCUUCCGCAAUGGGCGAAAGCCUGACGGAGCAACGCCGCGUGAGUGAAGAAGGUCUUCGGAUCGUAAAACUCUGUUAUUAGGGAAGAACAAAUGUGUAAGUAACUAUGCACGUCUUGACGGUACCUAAUCAGAAAGCCACGGCUAACUACGUGCCAGCAGCNNCNGGUAAUAAACAAGAUGGCACUUCUUUAGUUAUGGUCAAUUCAGUUUGUGGUUGUGCUGGUGGUAUUGCACGUCCAGCAGCCGCGGUAAUA
rnacentral:rRNA from 1 species